rnacentral:rRNA from 1 species
GUAACAAGGUUUCCGUAGGUGAACCUGCGGAAGGAUCAUUGUAUCUAUCAAUAACCACACAGUGAACCUUCCAAUGUCUGGCCCGCCAAUUCUCUCCGGAGUUUUGGUGCUUCCUGGGCAGCAUUAAGUUGCUGCUUGGGUUGGGCUCGGCUGCCCAAACCAUUGGGUAGUCGGGUCGGUCUUAUACCAACCAACAACACCAAACAAAACCUAAAGCCAAAGAUAUGUGAUCGGCCUAGCCGUCACAUCCUAACUGAGACAACUCUCAACAACGGAUAUCUUGGCUCUCGCAACGAUGAAGAACGCAGCGAAAUGCGAUACGUAGUGUGAAUUGCAGAAUUCCGUGAAUCAUCAAAUUUUUGAACGCAAAUUGCGUCCGAGGCUUCGGCCGAGGGCAUGUUUGCCUCAGCGUCGGGUUAAUCUCACUAAACCUCUCCCACUGGGAGCAAGGUUAAGUGGACCUGGCUGUUCCAGAGCUAGGUGCUUAAUUGUGCCAUCACGGCUCUGGAUCAGCUGAAGAUCAGAGGCUAGCUCAAGGACCCGUUAAGGGCCGCAACUGGGUAGGCAGCUUUGCUUGCUAUUUCUAGUUGUUGGCUUGGGACCAUGGGCUUGGCCCUCAAACAGGAACCCUCUUUUUUCUCGACCUGAGCUCAAGCAAGACCACCCGCUGAACUUAAGCAUAU